UAAGGAAUAUUGGUCAAUGGACGCAAGUCUGAACCAGCCAUGCCGCGUGGAGGAUGAAGGCCCUCUGGGUUGUAAACUUCUUUUCUUUGGGACGAAACCUCUAUUUCUAUGGAGACUGACGGUACCAGAGGAAUAAGCACCGGCUAACUCCGUGCCAGCAGCCGCGGUAAUGCGGAGGGUGCAAGCGUUAUCCGGAUUCACUGGGUUUAAAGGGAGCGUAGGUGGACUUUUAAGUCAGUGGUGAAAUCUCUGGGCUUAACCCGGAAACUGCCAUUGAUACUAUUAGUCUUGAAUUCUCUGGAGGUAAGCGGAAUAUGUCAUGUAGCGGUGAAAUGCUUAGAUAUGACAUAGAACACCCAUUGCGAAGGCAGCUUACUACGGAGACAUUGACACUGAGGCUCGAAAGCGUGGGGAUCAAA
rnacentral:rRNA from 1 species